UGGCACUCGUAGAGCCUUAGGCAUGAUA
rnacentral:piRNA from 1 species